rnacentral:lncRNA from 1 species
AAAACACAAAACACAUUCACUCAUUCACUGUUGUUUCACGAGAACACUAUUUUUUUCCAUUGCCAUGUGAUUUUGCAGUGUCUUGGGCAUAGUUAUCCGGCCUUUGCAGUAUGAGAAAUUUUCAGGCCAUUGCAGCACAGUGUACGUAGCUGGUAAAUAGCUGGGGAGAUUCCCUGGCCAGAUUCCCUGGUUGACACAACCAUUCGCUGCAAAGCAAGGAGAGAAUCCUGCUGUUUGAAUUUCAAAAAGAAGCUUUGCGAAAAACCAUUAACGUAUAAGUUUGGUGUGUGUAUUAAAAGCUAUGUUUGUGUGUUUAAAUAGAGUGAAUGAAGUUUGAGAGUUCACGAGCUUUGGCAACAGUUGUCUGUGUGUGGUGAAGAUCAGCAGGUGUGGAGAGUAGGAGCUCUGGAGAUCUGCUGAGGUAUGUUUCUCGCACACACAUUAUCCUUGUUUUUUGCAGGUGGAAGACGUGUGGUUAUGGAGAGGGGAUGAUGAAGAAGAAGGAGGCGGAUGACGACGGCGGAUGAAGAAGACGAAGGUUGAAGAUGAAGAUGGCGUGCACAUGUAUUCGAAUCCAAAGAAAGCGUAUCCGGAUGGAGGUUUUUCUCAGAUUUCGGACAGGUAUUCGGAUACACUUUUGUUGUAUCCAGAUCCAGCUUUUUGCAGAAUUUGUAAAGGAAGAGUAUCUGGAUAAACCUUGUGCGUAUCCGGUUCCAGCCAUUCUUUGCAUGGCAGGUUGUUUGCAGUUCUUUGCAUGGCAGCCAUGGGUUCUUUCCGGUAGCAGUCACCGGUUGGCCAGAGCUUCCUUCCUUGGUCCGUCGCCACAGCUAGCUAGGUGAAGUGUGUUUAGGCUCAUGCAUGGGUGAUGCUACCAAUCAUCUUCUUCGCUUGGCAUGGACGGAGAUGACAGAGAUCUGGCAUGGAGAACAACACGAAGGUGUGUGCGGUGGAGGACAGGUUGAUCUUGAUGGAGAUGGAGAGGAGGAGGACGACAGUUGUGUGGAGGUUUAAGGGCAAGGAUUUCUGGAAACGGCCGAGAGUAACAGCAAGUUGAACGAUUUGGUUUUAUUUUGUUAUUGUGCCUAACCAUUUGUAUGUGUUGCAGGUUUUUAUAAGCAUAAUUAAGGUGCAUCUACUCAGCUAGAAGUAUUUGGUAAGCUAGGAAGGAUGUUAGUCAUCCAGACGUGCACUAAACAUAGUGAUAUCUUUGUCCACUUUCAAUGGUUGAAAAAUGUUUGACAUGAACUGCUUGUUGUUGUUGUCUGAGGCGUUGAAGGUGUUUUCGUUCAUGCUUUCCGUCG